rnacentral:rRNA from 1 species
AGUGAACGCUGGCGGUAUGCCUAACACAUGCAAGUCGAACGGCAGCACAGUAAGAGCUUGCUCUUACGGGUGGCGAGUGGCGGACGGGUGAGGAAUACAUCGGAAUCUACUUUUUCGUGGGGGAUAACGUAGGGAAACUUACGCUAAUACCGCAUACGACCUACGGGUGAAAGCAGGGGAUCUUCGGACCUUGCGCGAUUGCAUGAGCCGAUGUCGGAUUAGCUAGUUGGCGGGGUAAAGGCCCACCAAGGCGACGAUCCGUAGCUGGUCUGAGAGGAUGAUCAGCCACGCUGGAACUGAGAGACGGUCCAGACUCCUACGGGAGGCAGCAGUGGGGAAGAUUGGACAAUGGGCGCAAGCCUGAUCCAGCCAUACCGCGUGGGUGAAGAAGGCCUUCGGGUGGUAAAGCCCUUUUGUUGGGAAAGAAAAGCAGCAGGUUAAUACCGCGCUGUUCGGACGGUACCCAAAGAAUAAGCACCGGCUAACUUCGU